rnacentral:ncRNA from 1 species
GAUAACUGGCUUGUGGCGGUCAAGCGUUCACAGCGGCGACGCUUUUUGAUCCUUUGAUAUGGACUCUUCCUAUCAUUAUGGGGCAGUAUUCACCAAGCUUUGGGUUGUUCACCCACUAAUACGGAACGUGAGCUGGGUUUAGAUGGUCGUGAGACAGGUU